AGCGAACGCUGGCGGCAGUCCUAACACAUGCAAGUCGAGCGCCCCGCAAGGGGAGCGGCAGACGGGAGAGUAACACGUGGGAAUCUACCCAUCUCUACGGAAUAACGCAUGGAAACGUGUGCUAAUACCGUAUACGUCCUUCGGGAGAAAGAUUUAUCGGAGAUGGAUGAGCCCGCGUUGGAUUAGCUAGUUGGUGGGGUAAAGGCCUACCAAGGCGACGAUCCAUAGCUGGUCUGAGAGGAUGAUCAGCCACACUGGGACUGAGACACGGCCCAGACUCCUACGGGAGGCAGCAGUGGGGAAUAUCGGACAAUGGGCGCAAGCCUGAUCCAGCCAUGCCGCGUGAGUGAUGAAGGCCCUAGGGUUGUAAAGCUCUUUCACCGGUGAAGAUAAUGACGGUAACCGGAGAAGAAGCCCCGGCUAACUUCGUGCCAGCAGCCGCGGUAAGAC
rnacentral:rRNA from 1 species